rnacentral:rRNA from 1 species
AUUGAACGCUGGCGGCAGGCCUAACACAUGCAAGUCGAACGAGUGGCGGACGGGUGAGUAAUGUCUGGGAAACUGCCUGAUGGAGGGGGAUAACUACUGGAAACGGUAGCUAAUACCGCAUACCAUCAGAUGUGCCCAGAUGGGAUUAGCUAGUAGGUGGGGUAACGGCUCACCUAGGCGACGAUCCCUAGCUGGUUUGAGAGGGUGACCAGCUAAGCUGGAAAUGGGACACGGUCCAGACUCCUAAGGGCGGCAGGGUUGGGGAUUAUUGCACAAUGGGCGCAAGCCUGAUGCAGCCAUGCCGCGUGUAUGAAGAAGGCCUUCGGGUUGUAAAGUACUUUCAGCGGGGAGGCGUUACCCGCAGAAGAAGCACCGGCUAACUCCGUGCCAGCAGCCGCGGUAAUUC